rnacentral:lncRNA from 1 species
CCGGAAUUCGGAAAGAGCGGAGGCGGCUGGAAUCCGAGUCCUGGGGCGCGAGGGCCGGGAAGAGUUGCUUCCGCCCCCGGGGCAGAAAGCCUGGGCUCGCGGAGCCUUCCUGCACCUCCCUGACGGCCGGGCUUCGCCAGCCACGUCGAGAGAACGGGAGAGCGACUGCAAAACACUUUCCACUCGCGGCCUUUUUUGCUGGGAGGCGAGAGAGGGGAGGCUAUAGGGACCGCUCCUGCGCAUUCCUAGCGGCUCGCGGCCGGUGCCAUUGGUCCACUCUCCCAGGGCGCAAUCUGAACAAUAUGUGCCAACAGCUAUAAAACUGUUCAUAGAGCCCCUUUGACCCAGUAAACCCAUUUAAGGAAGUACAUUUCUAAGGAAAUGAUCCAAAGGGGGAAGUGGGGGAGCGCUUGCAUAAAAUGUUUACAGCAGGGUUAUUCAGAACGUUCGUAAUGACCUAGACCUGGGAAGGGACCCAACUGUCCAGCGAUUGAAUAAUCCAAACAAGCUCUGUCACAUUAUCAGAAAGAAUCCUGGCAGGUAUGCAGACUGUGAGGAACAUGUGAAAUUUUUGGCACGUGCAUGAAAAUGUGUACUGGGAAAUAAAAUUUUAAAAUGCAAAAUAAAUUGUGCACGCUAAUUAAAACUACAUGAAAUAAGCAGCUGUGAGAAAGGGAAGAGAAUACGAUU